CCAUCCGAGGAGCGUUGCAGCGCCCCACCCGCACACUGCGGGCCGCGGGCGUGAGGCUCGGACCCUUCAACCGGCAACGACGCUCAUCCACU
rnacentral:ncRNA from 2 species